GACGAACGCUGGCGGCGUGCCUAAUACAUGCAAGUUGAGCGCUGAAGGUUGGUACUUGUACCAACUGGAUGAGCAGCGAACGGGUGAGUAACGCGUGGGGAAUCUGCCUUUGAGCAGGGGACAACAUUUGGAAACGAAUGCUAAUACCGCAUAAAAACUUUAAACACAAGUUUUAAGUUUGAAAGAUGCAAUUGCAUCACUCAAAGAUGAUCCCGCGUUGUAUUAGCUAGUUGGUGAGGUAAAGGCUCACCAAGGCGAUGAUACAUAGCCGACCUGAGAGGGUGAUCGGCCACAGUGGGACUGAGACACGGCCCAAACUCCUACGGGAGGCAGCAGUAGGGAAUCUUCGGGAAUGGACGAAAGUCUGACCGAGCAACGCCGCGUGAGGGAAGAAGGUUGUCGGAUCGUAAAACUCUGUUGGUAGAGAAGAACGUUGGUGAGAGUGGAAAGCUCACCAAGUGACGGUAACUACCCAGAAAGGGACGGCUAACUACGUG
rnacentral:rRNA from 1 species